rnacentral:rRNA from 1 species
UUCCCUCCCAAACGCUGCUAUCAUGCAGUCGUACGCUUCUUUUUCCACCGGAGCUUGCUCCACCGGAAAAAGAAGAGUGGCGAACGGGUGAGUAACACGUGGGUAACCUGCCCAUCAGAAGGGGAUAACACUUGGAAACAGGUGCUAAUACCGUAUAACAAUCGAAACCGCAUGGUUUUGAUUUGAAAGGCGCUUUCGGGUGUCGCUGAUGGAUGGACCCGCGGUGCAUUAGCUAGUUGGUGAGGUAACGGCUCACCAAGGCCACGAUGCAUAGCCGACCUGAGAGGGUGAUCGGCCACAUUGGGACUGAGACACGGCCCAAACUCCUACGGGAGGCAGCAGUAGGGAAUCUUCGGCAAUGGACGAAAGUCUGACCGAGCAACGCCGCGUGAGUGAAGAAGGUUUUCGGAUCGUAAAACUCUGUUGUUAGAGAAGAACAAGGAUGAGAGUAACUGUUCAUCCCUUGACGGUAUCUAACCAGAAAGCCACGGCUAACUACGUGCCAGCAGCCGCGGUAAUACGUAGGUGGCAAGCGUUGUCCGGAUUUAUUGGGCGUAAAGCGAGCGCAGGCGGUUUCUUAAGUCUGAUGUGAAAGCCCCCGGCUCAACCGGGGAGGGUCAUUGGAAACUGGGAGACUUGAGUGCAGAAGAGGAGAGUGGAAUUCCAUGUGUAGCGGUGAAAUGCGUAGAUAUAUGGAGGAACACCAGUGGCGAAGGCGGCUCUCUGGUCUGUAACUGACGCUGAGGCUCGAAAGCGUGGGGAGCAAACAGGAUUAGAUACCCUGGUAGUCCACGCCGUAAACGAUGAGUGCUAAGUGUUGGAGGGUUUCCGCCCUUCAGUGCUGCAGCUAACGCAUUAAGCACUCCGCCUGGGGAGUACGACCGCAAGGUUGAAACUCAAAGGAAUUGACGGGGGCCCGCACAAGCGGUGGAGCAUGUGGUUUAAUUCGAAGCAACGCGAAGAACCUUACCAGGUCUUGACAUCCUUUGACCACUCUAGAAAUAAGAGCUUCCCCUUCGGGGGCAAAGU